GGACGACCGCUGGCGGCGUGCUUAACACAUGCAAGUCGAACGGAAAGGCCCUGCUUUUGUGGGGUGCUCGAGUGGCGAACGGGCGAGUAACACGUGAGUAACCUGCCCUUGACUUUGGGAUAACUUCAGGAAACUGGGGCUAAUACCGGAUAGGAGCUCCUGCUGCAUGGUGGGGGUUGGAAAGUUUCGGCGGUUGGGGAUGGACUCGCGGCUUAUCAGCUUGUUGGUGGGGUAGUGGCUUACCAAGGCUUUGACGGGUAGCCGGCCUGAGAGGGUGACCGGCCACAUUGGGACUGAGAUACGGCCCAGACUCCUACGGGAGGCAGCAGUGGGGAAUAUUGCACAAUGGGCGGAAGCCUGAUGCAGCAACGCCGCGUGCGGGAUGACGGCCUUCGGGUUGUAAACCGCUUUCGCCUGUGACGAAGCGUGAGUGACGGUAAUGGGUAAAGAAGCACCGGCUAACUACGUG
rnacentral:rRNA from 1 species